rnacentral:rRNA from 1 species
AGAGUUGAUCAUGCUCAGAUUGAACGCUGGCGGCAUGCUACACAUGCAAGUCGAACGCGAAAGUGGGGGCAAUCGUGUGAGUAGAGUGGCGAACGGGUGAGUAACACAUCGGAACGGACCCAGGAGUGGGGGACAACCUCGAGAAAUCGAGGCUAAUACCGCAUACGUCCUGAGGGAGAAAGCGGGGGAUUCGCAAGGACCUUGCGCUCAUGGAGCGGCCGAUGCCGGAUUAGCUAGUUGGCGGGGUAAGAGCCCACCAAGGCUACGAUCCGUAGCUGGUUUGAGAGAACGACCAGCCACACUGGGACUGAGACACGGCCCAGACUCCUACGGGAGGCAGCAGUGGGGAAUUUUGGACAAUGGGGGCAACCCUGAUCCAGCCAUGCCGCGUGAGUGAAGAAGGCCUUCGGGUUGUAAAGCUCUUUCGGCCGGAACGAAAUCGGCAACGUGAAUAACGUUGCUGGAUGACGGUACUGGAAGAAGAAG